rnacentral:ncRNA from 1 species
UGAUAAACUGAUAGAUUAGGUGUCUGAUUGUAGACUUAAUAGGGAAUCUGGUGUAAAUCCAGAGCUGUCCCCGCAACUGUAAAUGCUGACGAAAUAAGCAUUGUACCACUGUCUUAUAUAGACGGGAAGGGCUUAAAGUAGAGUGAAGCAUAAGUCAGGAGACCUGCCUGUUCUAUAACGUAUUA